rnacentral:lncRNA from 10 species
AUUCUCUCUCUCUCUCUCUCUUUUUUUUUUUUUUUAAAGAAAUCUCUUUAGACAGGCAUUUGACUCAAAGAUACUUUUGCACACCAGAAGCCUAAGGCACAUAACCCAAAAAUAAAUUAUUUCAAGCUGACAAACAUUUUCUCCCAGAGGAUAAAGACAAUUUUUUUCAUGGACAAAAUGUCUUAUGGAGGGGAUCUUAUAAUCACAUCACCCAUUAUCAUUAUCAUCAAAAUAUACAACAUCUAGGUCCAAUUAAUGGAAGAUGGGACCAUAUGGAUGUCAGUUACAGUGACGUGGUGAGAAGAUCAUGAUUCAUGCCUUCAGUCCAAGUGCUUUACAACCAUUAAGCUUCUCAGUACCUUUGUGAACUAGAUGUCAUCCUGCUACCUGAUGUUGAUUAAAUAUGGCAUCUUGUUAUCACAAAGGAUACUUUCCAGAGACCAGGUGUGACAGCAAAAGCCAAUUCAUGUCACAGAUUGACCAGUUUUGGGAAGAACAUAGCCUUCUUCACUGUUUAAUUCCCACCUAUUCCUUGGUAACCAGGAAGAUCCUGAUAAAGACACUGCACUCCACCCAGAUUCCCUUGGAGUCUAUGCGCUGUUUCUGGGCUCAUCCUCCAGCCUCAGUGUGUUUGCUGUAAGUCUGUCUGUCCUUGGGCUCCUGGAAGUGUUUUGCAGUGCAUAGGGGAUGGAAGUACUCGGGAACUGAUGUCCCACUAGAUCAGUCUGUAGUUAAUGACUGGUGCAUGAAGAAUUCACCUCCAGAGCUCUUCUGGGAUUUGGCUGAGGCUGGAACUUUGCCUCAAAUUGCACCCUUGUUUGAUUUCCUCUUCACUGUCCCAUUGGCCCUCCUCUCUACAAGUGUCUUUGCAGCACUUUCUUCCUAUCACCUGCAUAUAAAUCCUUGUCUCAGGGUCUGCUGGUGGGGAACUCAGCACAGGGAAAGUAUGCAAAGAACUGAACAAAACUGACAUACUUAAGGGAGAAUUUGUGACUCUGUUUCAACUUGUCUUCAACUAAAUGACCUCAGGCCUUACACAGGGGCAUUGAAAUUUCCCUCUUAGAAAUGCAGUUACACAUUUAAGACCUUUAAAGUUAUAAAAAGAGAUUUUAAAUAGUGACAAUUAAGACUCAACACCAAACAUAGUGUAUAGUUUUAUAACUGUUCUCUGGCUAAAGAAACAAAUAAAACCACUUCUCAUUAUCAAGAUCCUCCAACUACUUGCAAUGCAGGAGGAGGCAACUUUAUAACACAAAGCAGUGGGAAAAAAUUAUUUAAAAGUGAUAGCGUAUAAUUAGAUUCACAUGACUUAUGUUGUGGACAUUUAGAAAAGUGGAUAAGAAUUCUGAAGUUACCAGGAAAUGCUUCACUGCAAAGUUGAAAUUGAAAUUGAGUCCAGAAAGCUGUGUAGCAUCUAGAUAAUGGAAAGUCAGACAUUCUGAAUACUUGGUGUACUUUGGGGAAAGAAGGUGGCGUUAGGGGGAAUUCUUUGACUAAAGCAAAAGAUAUGGGUUCAGGAAUUAUGUUCUAAUGAGUGUUAUCUGGUUGGAUAGGCAAGGUAGGGUCAGAUAAUGAAUGGACCAUCUCAGAUGCUGGGCUAAAAAGUUUGGGCUUGAUUAGAAAGGCUACAGUGAAAAAGCAUACAUGUUCAAGCAAAUGGUGUGUUGAGGUUCUGUAAAGACUUACUUAGCUUUAGUGUCAGAGAAUUAAUUGUGACAGACAGAGAGAGGCUGAAAAUUUGUUGGAAACUGCAAGUCUGUACAAGAAUAAAACUCUAAAUUUGAGGGAAUGGCAGUGUAGAAAUGAACACUAGCGAUCAUAACAAGAAAAGAUGGUACUGAUUAUUAGGGGAGGAGUAAAGAAAAGACUCGAAGAUAGGUCUAAGGUUUAAGCUUGAGUGAUUUGGAAAUGUAAUGGAAAGCAAUGAAGCUGAACUUAAAGCAAGAAAGGUUUAUUCAGGUGGGAAUGUGCCUUAGUUUGAAUUUUGGCCCCUAUAGAAUUAAAACAGGAUGUUCUGGUGGAAACAUCCUGGAAAUAUGGAACAAACCUGACUGAAAAAUUAGUGUUAGAGUUACAAAGUUUGGAUUGGUAGACAUGAGAACUUAAGCAAUGGAAAUAGAUGCAUUCUUAAGAAUGGAAAUAUGGAGAGAAAAUAACUGGAAAUGGGAAAUUAAGACCACUCGAGUUAUGUUGAAAGAUUUCAUUACAUCUGAAUGGAAAUUGGAGGAUGUAUGCUAGUUUACCCAAAAGGCAGCCUGUUUGGUUAAUUUAACACUAUAUUAAACUAGGAAAGAUAACCUCUUUCUCCAUGGAUCCUCCAUUGAGCUUUGGUUCAUUAGAAUUCCCUCAUUCCCUCUUUGGGAAAGUGGAAUGGGAAAGUCAAGGGUACGGGGGGGAGAAUAGAUGACAUCUCCUGGAUUUUCUCCUCCUAUUCCUCCCCAUCCCCACACUCUAUUUUCUGCAUACUUAGAUUUGGGGUAAAUUCUCAUUGUAUUUCUAUGUCAAGACCUGAAUCCCUCUGGAUGGGGUAGUAUAUUAUGUCAGUGGACAGUUAAACUCACCAUCUUUUUUAUUUCUUUUUGUUUUUUUAAUCUGAUGACUGAAGACAGCACCCCUCUUUCUGUUUCAAAAGAUCUAGUCAGGACUAAUGAGAAAAAUUUGAGAGGGCCCAGGGGAUGCAUAUCUAUAGAUAUCUCACACCACACGCAGGCAGCUUAUUGUCUUUAGUUCCAGUAAAAAUAGCCCAUUGGGAACCAAUUCAAAAUCUGUGGAAUCUGGUGUUAAUGUGAAGUGACUCUUGCUCUUGCAAAGAAACCCGCUUUAGAACUCCUCUCUAGAACUCAGAUAUUUUACGAACGGUGAUGAGGAUAAUGAAGCUAAUAAUUAUAAAUAAUAGUCCUAUGUGUUAGAAAUUGUCUCCUUGAUGAUACAGUUGUUCCUCUACUCUUCUCCCACAUUUUAAUUAGAACAUGCUACUGUUUUAGAUUGGGAAGAGGCAGUAGUCUGAUAAGACAACACAUAUUGGCACUGUCCCCAUUUCAUACCCUCUUGGUUACAGCCACCAUGCCACUGGCCUUCUUCCAUUUCAAACUAGAUUAAUUUUCAAGAGGACAAUUUCCUAGGUAGCUCUUGGAUCCAAAAAUAAACUGGCAACUGGUAAAAUUCUUGUUGUAACUUCCAUUGC